GAAUGAUAUGAUGAUUAUGAUAUGUUUCCCUAUUGGUUUGAUUGCCGUGAUGAUGGCAUCAAUGUUGUAUUAGCUCUAUCUGAUCAUUC
rfam:Ricinus communis ctg_1100012350735, whole genome shotgun sequence.